AGGAGCAUGUGGUUUAAUUCGAUGAUACGCGAGGAACCUUACCUGGGCUCGAACGUAAGAUGACUGUAGGUGAAAGCUUACAUCUCUUCGGAGCAUUUUACGAGGUGCUGCAUGGUUGUCGUCAGCUCGUGCCGUGAGGUGUCGGGUUAAGUCCCAUAACGAGCGCAACCCUACCUUUAGUUGCCAUCAGGUAAUGCUGGGGACUCUAAAGGAACUGCCUACGCAAGUAGUGAGGAAGCGGGGAUGACGUCAAAUCAGCACGGCCCUUACGUCCAGGGCUACACACGUGCUACAAUGGCCGAUACAGAGGGCAGCUACCUGGUGACAGGAUGCAAAUCUCCAAAGUCGGUCUCAGUUCGGAUCGGAGUCUGCAACCCGACUCCGUGAAGUUGGAUUCGCUAGUAAUCGCGCAUCAGCCAUGGCGCGGUGAAUACGUUCCCGGGCCUU
rnacentral:rRNA from 1 species